UACGUAGGGUGCGAGCGUUGUCCGGAAUUAUUGGGCGUAAAGAGCUCGUAGGCGGUUUGUCGCGUCUGCUGUGAAAUCCCGAGGCUCAACCUCGGGCUUGCAGUGGGUACGGGCAGGCUAGAGUGCGGUAGGGGAGAAUGGAACUCCUGGUGUAGCGGUGGAAUGCGCAGAUAUCAGGAAGAACACCCGUGGCGAAGGCGGCUCUCUGGAACGCAACUGACGCUGAGACGCGAAAGCGUGGGGAGCAAACAGG
rnacentral:rRNA from 1 species